rnacentral:rRNA from 1 species
AGGACGAACGCUGGCGGCGUGCUUAACACAUGCAAGUCGAGCGAGGCUCCUCCUUCGGGAGGAAGCCCUAGCGGCGAACGGGUGAGUAACACGUGGGCAACCUGCCCCUAGCACUGGGAUAACCCCGGGAAACCGGGGCUAAUACCGGAUACGACUUCGGAAGGCAUCUUCUGAAGUGGAAAAGGUUACUGGCUAGGGAUGGGCCCGCGGCCUAUCAGCUUGUUGGUGGGGUAAUGGCCCACCAAGGCGACGACGGGUAGCCGGCCUGAGAGGGCGACCGGCCACACUGGGACUGAGACACGGCCCAGACUCCUACGGGAGGCAGCAGUGGGAAUAUUGCACAAUGGGCGAAAGCCUGAUGCAGCGACGCCGCGUGAGGGAUGGCGGCCUUCGGGUUGUAAACCUCUUUCAGCAGGGACGAAGCGAAGUGACGGUACCUGCAGAAGAAGCACCGGCCAACUACGCGCCAGCAGCCGC